rnacentral:rRNA from 1 species
GACGAACGCUGGCGGCGUGCUUAACAUAUGCAAGUCGAACGGAAAGGCCCUGCUUUUGUGGGGUGCUCGAGUGGCGAACGGGUGAGUAACACGUGAGUAACCUGCCCUUGACUUUGGGAUAACUUCAGGAAACUGGGGCUAAUACCGGAUAGGAGCUCCUGCUGCAUGGUGGGGGUUGGAAAGUUUCGGCGGUUGGGGAUGGACUCGCGGCUUAUCAGCUUGUUGGUGGGGUAGUGGCUUACCAAGGCUUUGACGGGUAGCCGGCCUGAGAGGGUGACCGGCCACAUUGGGACUGAGAUACGGCCCAGACUCCUACGGGAGGCAGCAGUGGGGAAUAUUGCACAAUGGGCGGAAGCCUGAUGCAGCAACGCCGCGUGCGGGAUGACGGCCUUCGGGUUGUAAACCGCCUUCGCCUGUGACGAAGCGUGAGUGACGGUAAUGGGUAAAGAAGCACCGGCUAACUACGUG